rnacentral:tRNA from 1 species
AGCGAGGUAGAGCAGUUGGUAGCUCGUUGGGCUCAUAACCCGAAGGUCAAUGGUUCAAGCCCAUUUCUCGCAA